GAGUUUGAUCCUGGCUCAGAAUCAACGCUGGCGGCGUGCCUAACACAUGCAAGUCGAACGAGAAAGGGGCUUCGGCCCUGAGUAAAGUGGCGCACGGGUGAGUAACACGUGACUAACCUACCCUUGAGUGGGGAAUAACUUCGGGAAACCGAGGCUAAUACCGCAUAACACCUACGGGUCAAAGGAGCAAUUCGCUUAAGGAGGGGGUCGCGGCAGAUUAGUUAGUUGGCGGGGUAAUGGCCCACCAAGACGGUGAUCUGUAUCCGGCCUGAGAGGGCGCACGGACACACUGGAACUGAAACACGGUCCAGACUCCUACGGGAGGCAGCAGUGGGGAAUUUUGCGCAAUGGGGGAAACCCUGACGCAGCAACGCCGCGUGGAGGAUGAAGUCCCUUGGGACGUAAACUCCUUUCGAUCGGGACGAUUAUGACGGUACCGGAAGAAGAAGCCCCGGCUAACUUCGUACCAGCAGCCGCGGUAAUACG
rnacentral:rRNA from 1 species